AUCAUUCCAAACAUUCGGUAAAUAAAAUCUGUUCUUAUCAGCUUAAUAUCUGAUACGAAGGCCAUUGGCCUUCCAGUAUAUUAAGCUGAUUUUUGGAACGGGGAUGGGGUCGUGAAGCUUGCUUCCGCCCGUCCAAGGGUCGGCCUGGCAUUGCAGUACAGUCAGGAUCGGCCCACUCAAA
rfam:Folsomia candida strain VT population Fcan01_Sc007, whole genome shotgun sequence.